rnacentral:rRNA from 1 species
UCAGCUCGUGUCGUGAGAUGUUGGGUUAAGUCCCGCAACGAGCGCAACCCCUAUCAUUUGUUGCCAGCACGUAAAGGUGGGAACUCAAGUGAGACUGCCGCGGACAACGCGGAGGAAGGCGGGGAUGACGUCAAGUCAUCAUGCCCCUUACGUCCUGGGCUACACACGUACUACAAUGGGACACACAGAGGGAAGCGAAGGAGUGAUCUGGAGCGGACCCCAAAAAAUGUCUCCCAGUUCGGAUUGCAGGCUGCAACCCGCCUGCAUGAAGUCGGAAUCGCUAGUAAUCGCAGGUCAGCAUACUGCGGUGAAUACGUUCCCGGGCCUUGUACACACCGCCCGUCACACCACGAAAGUCAUUCACACCCGAAGCCGG